rnacentral:ncRNA from 1 species
ACAUACGCGUUGAGAGGAAUUAGUAAAUUAAUUUCAUGUCUAAAGAGAAAAGGAUUCAUCGGCUGAAAGAUCCUUGACCCCUGAAAUGAUUGAACCUGUCCUUGAGCAGCUAGCAAACCUAGCCGUCUCCCCACGUUACGGGUACGAGUGGGCAUCUAUUUAGAUGUCAAACAAGGUGGUACCGCGGAGAUAAGCUCUUCCGUCCUUUUU